GGAAGGAGACUGUUAGAGAUGCCCUUCCUGCCAAAGCUGCCAUGGGGCUCUACCAAAGGUGCACGUAUGGGCCUCCAUGCCAGCCCUCUCCCUUGGGCCCUCAGAGCCCUGCCCGUCUCUUUCUGCCUUUUCCUUAAACUGUCCAAGUGACAAGACGAGGACACAUUUAAGUUCAGAGCUGAUCACAAUUAACAUUAGCAUCAAGUGCAAAGAAAAUAAUAGAAGCACAACGAUGGUUUCAUUCUUCACUCUAAGUCAAAUCUAUUCUUGAUACAGGUGUCCUGCUUUCUUAGAUGUCACUGACCCAGAGCUUGGGAGCUUCAGAUGGACUGAGAUAACUCCCCUUUUUCCUUUAUCGUGUCAAGUGACUUGGCUUUUAAGCAUAUAAAUCCCAUUGUUCUAGAUGGAUUUUUGCGAUGUAAAACGUAAAGAUUUUGGAGACCAUUACAAGUUUCAGUCAGCAAGCACUAAAAAUCAUUAGACAAUUUAAAGAAAAACACCCCAAAACACUUGAAAGCUAACGCUUAAGAGCCCACUCUGAGGUUCACGAAGGGCAAACACAGAAAGUCAGAGCUUUAAGAAAACUAAAUGUGCUCUACGCACCAGUCCUGGGGACAUACUGUAGAGUGUUCUGUCCCCUAGGGUCCUUGUCUGUGCUUGCCCGAGUGCUGAGGACCAUUCAGAUCCAUGGCGGGGGCAGGCCAGCCAGACUCCUUGGCCAUCUGUUCACAAGACAAGUGUGCAGGAUGGUGCUCUGGCAGGCAGCAGAGAGUCCCUCUGUGCCUAUGGGCUGCCUCUCCUCCACUGGGCCUGUCUCCUGGGGCUGAGGGCAGCCUCAAGCAGUGGAAGCCCCAGUGUAUGUACCUUACUCAAGAGUGAGAGAGUCAACAGCAGUCCCACAAAAAGGAACAUGAAAGAAGAAUGGUGGUUUGCAUCCCACUUGGUACAUUAAAGCACCACUAAUGUAGUCUUCAAAAGCACUCACUGAGCAUAGUUUACAUGCAAUGAAAGAAAAACAUGGGCUCAUUAAAUAUCAUCUGAUGACUAUGACAUCACCUAUCUGUGGGAAUUUCAAGUUGGGAGGUAUCAUACUCCUAUCCCCAAAAGCCCAGAGGCAAUGUAUGAAGUUUCAGUUUAAUGAACGCUCUAUUUCUAUGAAACAUGCUCUGAAUACACAGAUACCUAUUUAAUAAGACCUAUGACAGUAAGUACAGCUGUGGGACUGGGGCUGGUUCAUGUAUCACCACUGUGUCUGAUGUUUCCAUGGUUACCACAAGUGCACACAAUGCCAAUCAGCUUUUCCCAGACAGCCAUGACAGUUCACGACUCAGCAAAAUGCAGAAAGGGGAUUGCUGGUUUUAGUUAGUGGUGACGUUUUAGAAUAUUGACGUUUCUAAAGUCAUGAACUGAAGUAACUUAAAACUUGAAGAAGUAGUUCUGUAAUACGCACAACACAAAUAUAUCUUGUUCUCUUCUUUUUCAACUCUGUUCUAAGCAAUCCUAUCAAAAGAUGACACAUAACAUGUACCCAGCCUUCUUUCAAAUAUCAAUGCAAUUAUCAGGUGAAAUUUAUCAUCCAUGUAUCAGAAUGAAGAGUUAUUGGCUGAGCCUUUCCAGAGUCCUCCAGCUCUGGCUCUUCUGCUCAUUUUCUCCAGUCACCUGCCAUCUCCCCUACUUUGUCUUUUUGCUAUUUCUUUUUCCCCUCUGUUUAUUGCUUCCUCACAUCCCCAAAGUCUGAAGGAAGGUGUUCUCCAUGUAUUUGGACUUCCUCCAUGGACCCAACUAUCACACGAAAACUGUAGUCUCCUAGCCAGGACUGGCUAUGUAAUUUGUGGGGCCCCAUGAAAAAUCAAAAUGCAAGGCUCCUUAUGAAAAAAUUAUGAAGAAUUUCAAGAUGGCAAUGGCAGAGCAUUCAGUCAAGCACAAACUCUUCUGAGAGUGGGUCCCUGAGCAACUGCACGGGG